UACGCCCAUGUGAAACUCUUUCGACGAGUCGAGUUGUUUGGGAAUGCAGCUCAAAAUGGGUGGUAUAUUUCAUCUAAAGCUAAAUAUUGGCCAGAGACCGAUAGCGCACAAGUAGAGUGAUCGAAAGAUGAAAAGCACUUUGGAAAGAGAGUUAAACAGUACGUGAAAUUGUUGAAAGGGAAGCGCUUGCAAUCAGACUUGCGCCUAGUUGAUCAUCCAAGCUUUUGGUUGGUGCACUCGACUAGGCUCAGGCCAGCAUCGGUUUGGGCGGUUGGAUAAAGACUUGGGGAACGUAGCCUCCUUCGGGUGGUGUUAUAGCCCCAGGUGCAAUGCAGCCUGCCUGGACCGAGGACCGCGCUUCGGCUAGGAUGCUGGCGUAAUGGUUGUAAGCGACCCGUCUUGAAACACGGACCAAGGAGUCGACCUAUUUAGCGAGUGUUUGGGUGUUAAACCCAUACGCGUAAUGAAAGUGAACGGAGGUGAGAACCCGUUAGGGCGCAUCAUCGACCGAUCCUGAUGUCUUCGGAUGGAUUUGAGUAAGAGCUAAGUGGGUCGGACCCGAAAGAUGNUGAUCUAUACGUGAAUAGGGUGAAGCCAGAGGAAACUCUGGUGGAGGCUCGCAGCGGUUCUGACGUGCAAAUCGAUCGUCAAAUUUGCGUAUAGGGGCGAAAGACUAAUCGAACCAUUAAACCUUACUAGGUGGUUGAGAGAGGAUCGUUUGAGAGAUCCUUUAGUUCCCACUCGGGGCAACAUCGUCAAAUUGUUCGGGGACCACCUGUGAAUUUGCAAGCUACCGCAGCCAGCUCGAAAGGGUUGGUGAGCACCUGAGAUAGCGACUUAGGGUAUGGUAAUAACGCUUGCAUGGGGUGUAUCCGCAGCGAAUCCCUAAGCCUUUUUAGGUAUGGGUGUCGUUCACAGACUAGACGGCGGUGGACGUGGUAUCGGAAGGUAUAGGCUUAAUAACCCUAUAUUCUUACAUGUCACGCUUAAGAUAUAGUCGAACCCCCCAGAGAUGGGGUUGGAAUCAAUGCUAGUAGCUGGUUCCUGCCGAAGUUUCCCUCAGGAUAGCAGUGUUGUAUUCAGUUUUAUGAGGUAAAGCGAAUGAUUAGAGGCCUUGGGGUUGAAACAACCUUAACCUAUUCUCAAACUUUAAAUAUGUAAGAAGUCCUUGUUGCUUAAUUGAACGUGGACAUUCGAAUGUACCAACACUAGUGGGCCAUUUUUGGUAAGCAGAACUGGCGAUGCGGGAUGAACCGAACGCGAGGUUAAGGUGCCGGAAUAUACGCUCAUCAGACACCACAAAAGGCGUUAGUUCAUCUAGACAGCAGGACGGUGGCCAUGGAAGUCGGAAUCCGCUAAGGAAUGUGUAACAACUCACCUGCCGAAUGAACUAGCCCUGAAAAUGGAUGGCGCUUAAGCGUAUUACCCAUACCUCGCCGCCAGGGUAG
rnacentral:rRNA from 1 species